AAUGAACGCUGGCGGCGUGCCUAACACAUGCAAGUCGAGCGAGAAAGUCUCUUCGGAGAUAAGUACAGCGGCGGACGGGUGAGUAACGCGUGAGAAUUUACCCUUUAGUGAAGAAUACCUCUGAGAAAUCAGGGUUAAUACUGCAUACGUCCCUACGGGGAGAAAGGUGGCCUCUUUGCUGCCGCUAAAGGAUAAGCUUGCGUACUAUUAGCUAGUUGGUGAGGUAAAGGCUCACCAAGGCGAUGAUGGUUAGCCGGCCUGAGAGGGUGUACGGCCACACUGGAACUUAGACACGGUCCAGACUCCUACGGGAGGCAGCAGUGAGGAAUAUUGCGCAAUGGGCGAAAGCCUGACGCAGCGACGCCGCGUGGAGGAUGAAGGUCUUCGGAUUGUAAACUCCUGUUAAGUGGGAAGAAAGACCUAUUUCUAAUACAGAUAGGGGAUGACGGUACCAAUUAGAGAAAAGGCACCGGCUAAACUUCGUGCCAGCAGCCGCGGUAAU
rnacentral:rRNA from 1 species